AUUGAACGCUGGCGGCAGGCCUAACACAUGCAAGUCGAGCGGUAGCACAGAGAGCUUGCUCUCGGGUGACGAGCGGCGGACGGGUGAGUAAUGUCUGGGAAACUGUCUGAUGGAGGGGGAUAACUACUGGAAACGGUAGCUAAUACCGCAUAACGUCGCAAGACCAAAGUGGGGGACCUUCGGGCCUCAUGCCAUCAGAUGUGCCCAGAUGGGAUUGGCUAGUAGGUGGGGUAACGGCUCACCUAGGCGACGAUCCCUAGCUGGUCUGAGAGGAUGACCAGCCACACUGGAACUGAGACACGGUCCAGACUCCUACGGGAGGCAGCAGUGGGGAAUAUUGCACAAUGGGCGCAAGCCUGAUGCAGCCAUGCCGCGUGUGUGAAGAAGGCCUUCGGGUUGUAAAGCACUUUCAGCGGGGAGGAAGGCGGUGAGGUUAAUAACCUCAUCGAUUGACGUUACCCGCAGAAGGAGCACCGGCUAACUCCGUGCCAGCCGCCGCUGUAACAC
rnacentral:rRNA from 1 species